UACGAGAGGCGCAAACGUUAUUCGGAUUCACUGGGCGUAAAGGGUGCGCAGGCGGCCGAGUGUGUGAGGCGUGAAAGCCCGGGGCUUAACCCCGGAAUUGCACCUCAAACUACACGGCUAGAGCAUUGGAGAGGGUAGCAGAAUUCAUGGUGUAGCAGUGAAAUGCGUAGAUAUCAUGAGGAAUACCAGAGGCGAAGGCGGCUACCUGGACAAUUGCUGACGCUCAGGCACGAAAGCGUGGGGAGCAAAAGGG
rnacentral:rRNA from 1 species